GGAUGUGGCUCAGUGCCAGAGCAUCUGCUCUGCGUACAGAAUGUCCCAGGUUCAAUUCCAGGCUGAUCCA